UUUUUUUUUUUUUUUUUUUUUUAGCAUGUCAACUGGAAAAGCUUCCAGGAGUCACUGCAUUUCUCUCAGCUCUCUAAAGAGAGAGGGAUCAAUGCUUUUUUCUGAGCCAAGCACAACCUCAACUCACAGCAAGAGCUCUGUUUGUAUGACCAACCACCCAGAUGCUGGGGCUGCACCGUGUCCAUGUGUGCAUUUUAAUUGUGAGUUUUUAAUAGUAACAGGAAAUGUGCAAUGAAACUACCUACUCCAUAAGGCAAACAUCCCCCUGGGCUGCAUUUCGCUGCCCUUGCUUAUGCAAGACCAGCAAAAAAAGGCAAUAUUUGGCAAUCAGGAGGUGGCAAACACAUUUUUCACGUAAGCCUGGACAGAAAUAACCGGGUUACCGUUCAGACUGAGCAGAGCUUAACUCCGUGGCCUGGGGCUGCCCAGGGCAGCUGCAGCAGCAGGGAGGGAGGGAGGCUGGAGCUGCACACACCAGGUCAGCCCUAAAGGACCGGCUGAGGCUCCCAGGCUGAAAUUGUAAAUACAGACUGUUCCAAGGAUCCAGCCCAGCAGCAGCACCUCCCAUCCCCUCCGUGUGCUUCCCAGCAGCAUGAAAGAGAAGGGAUAAAAAAGGGAUAAGGAAAGGCUGAGCCAGCCUGACCUCAGCGUUUUCUUGUUCAGCUUUUCAUUUCCUGAUUUGGAAUCUUUACCUAAGACACCUUGAGGUUUAGUGCUGUUUCUUUGGGCAAGAAGCAAUUGGAAUUGAUUUGUCCACUUUGUGAUGUGCUUUUCUUUUGUUGGAAAAGGAUAGAAGAGUUUCCAGUGUGAAUUUGCAAAUCUAUUUUUAAGCCUUGCUGCAAAUAAAAUGAAAGAACUUAAAUUUCCCUCAGCUGUUGCCAGCGACAAAGCUGGGGGGUGAUUUUUCCUCCUUUUGUACAAAUGAAAUGUUAUUUCUCCUUGUCUUCACACAUGCAUAUUUUUAUAUAGAGUGAUAUAUUAUGGGUUUCUCUCAAGAACAAAAGGAUAUGGUGGAAAUCUGAACAACUGCAGACUGAUAAAAUACAGUGAGUCAGAGCAAACCUGGGCUGCUCUAAUUGCACCCGUACAAAUAUACCUUAAUGACCACAGGAUCAAAAAUAUGCCCCUUUAAUCAUUGCACAACUUUAUUAGCUCCUGCCCUGUUUUAGUUAAUGACUGCCUGAAUUAACAUUGCCCUUUUCUACCUGCUAUGAUACACUAAAAUGUUGUAUUUUUGUGUGCUGGUCUCAUCAGCAGAUAGUGCAGCUGCCCUGGAAGUGUUACACAAUUGGAAAAAGCAGGUGAAAUGCUCCACAUCACCAUUAAAACCAUAGGAAUACAUCCAAUAAAAGGUGGUCUGGGUGCAGGAAAGGUGGGGGAACCCAAGCCUGCAGAAUUUAUAGGCUGCUGCAGUUCAUGUGUAAUGAGUAAAAUAGAAUAUUUGUCCUUCAAGUUUUGUUGAUGACAAAGACAUACACAGUUUAGUGUGUGCCCCUGCUUUCAAACUGUGAUUUUAUCCAUUGGAUUCAAAUGGAAUGAGCAGGAUACAUACUGAAAUUAUGAUUAGAUACUGAUUUUUCAGGAUGUCUCACUCUUUUGUUUUUAAUUUAAAUUUCUCUUGGAAGGCAGAAUUAUUUUCCCGAUGUAAGAAAUAUUACUGUGCCAUCCAAGUGACUUUCUGUUCCUGGCAUUCUUGGAAGCAACAUGCCAGUUACAGAUGUGAAAAGAGAACAAGAAAUUAAUGAUAGAAUCCUUGGUUUUCACCAGUGGAGGUGUCCCAGUUAAAAUGCCAGUGGCAGGAGAACUUGGGCCACGCUCUCAGGCAUGCACAGGGGGGACUGUAGGGGAGUCUCUGCAGAGCCAGGACUGAAUUGUGGCUCCCUCCUAACUCAGGAGAUUCUCAGGAAUUCUCAGGAGAUUCAUCACAGGAUGAAAUACCCUAUGAUUCUAUGAAAAUAAAUCCAUAUUUCUGAAGACUUUGUACUUUAUCACAGCUGCUUAGUCUGACCUUUCUCUAAUUUCUGUUUCCAUGGAUGUUUAAACAAGAACAGAAUAUGAUCUGAUUUUCAUGUUUCCUCAUAAUCUUAUUCCGAAAAGCAGCCUUUGCUGAAAUUUGCCAAGAUAAUUCAGUCUAAGCAUGGAUAUGGUAGGCAUGGAAAAACUGACUCUGACCAAUUAAAGCACAGAAAAAUAUUAGAAUGGAAAUGUAUGCAAUCAACACGGAAUAAAACAUCUCAAAAUGGAAAAUAGUGGGCACCUUUGGCAGCCUAGGCAAUUAAUCAUUUAAAUGAUGUUUUAAAACAAAACCCAACAGAACACAUAUGAAAACUCUCUGACAGAUUUCCAUGAGCAAGUUUGCUUACCAAGUUUUUGUUCAGACAACCUUUAGUUUGGGUUUUUAUUUUCUACUGAAAUGCUGCUAUUUGAUAUUUUAUUGCUUUAUAAGCUCAUAUACACUGCAGUGAAAUCAUGGAACCACAAGGAGUGGUGAGGAGACAUGGAAUCAUCUAUUUUAGAAUUGUUACUUCUUGCUUUCAGGGAGUUUCUGAAGCUGUAAUUUUGGGAGAGGUUUAUUUGUUUCCUUUCCUCUCUCAGGAUUCAGCUUCCUACCCUGAUACCAAGGUUGUGGGUUUUGUCCCUGUGUCUAUCAUCCUUAUGAGAUGGGAAGUGUUUCCUUCUGGCAUUUUUCUGCUCUUGUCCCAGGUAUUUGGGAAGAUUCGUGAGAAGCAAGAAUUCUUCUCCUCCAGUCAUGGUUUAUCCCACAACGUAAAAUAUGAUGUGUUCAUAAAAGUUGUCCUUGAUUCCAGCUCUGGUUUGGCUUCAAUCUCAGCUCAAGCACCAAGAAAAAUUUUUCUGCACCAUUUAUAAAAUAACUUCUUCAAUUAAUGCCGUAAUCCAAAUUUCAUUAUAUUUAUUGCUAAAUUAGAGUUAGAAGUUCCAUUUAGUCCCUUUUAUAAAAUUACUUCCCAAUUUCACAGCAGAAGUCAUUCUGUUCCUGUUUGAUUUCCCUCUGGAGAGCUGCAGAGCCCAGAGUAUCAGCCAGGUCCUGUGUGAGCCCUGCCCUUGGAGUCACUGCCACCCUGCCUCUUGUCACUCCCCAGGGACAGCUGGGAGCCAUUCCAGCACACCCAGUCCUCUAAAACCCAGCACUGAGUUUUCCCCUUUCCCCAAAGAAGCAAAGUAUUCCUUGCUAAUUUGUCCCUUUUAGAUUAGGGAUGUAUUGAUACUGUUAUUAUUUAUCUAUGUUAAAUUAUAGCUUUUGUGUUUGAGUUGCUUGACACAGUGCUUUUUAUUUUCCAGGACACAAGGUCACAGUCCUUUCCCAAGGACUUUGCACGUUUGGUUUUUGCCUGCUAACAGUCCCUGAUAUCACUUACCAAAACAAGAUAUGGAAGCAGAAAUCACAGAAACCAACAAAAGCACAAAGGAAAUCUUUUAUGAAGGGCUCAUUAGAAUGAAGGCUUGGUUAAAGCUGCAUCCUUAGAUGGAUUAGUUCUGGAUCACACUUUGCAGACAAACCUCCAGAUUCAGCUACAGAACCUGGAGGAGACAAUUUAUAAAUUCUUUCAUAAAUCAAAAAGCAAUUCCUACAAACAUUAAUGAUCAGUCCACUCAGGAUCAGACUUAGAAAAUUAAAAUUAAACUUUCUACUGCCUUGUGGAGAUACCUUAAAAUACGGCCUGCAAUUUUACCAUGCUUAGCUUGGGAUAUUUCAAAUGCUUUAGGAGCUGAUCAGGGUAAGAACAGCCUAAUUCUCCAAGUGCCAUCCAAGCCAGACAGACACUGUGGGGUGGAGCAAACCAGGUGGCUCCUGAGAGUGGGCCAGGUAGUCUCCCUCUUUACAGGAGGGGUCAAGGCACAUAGAUCAAGUCUAAAUGCAUUCCAUUUAACUAAGAAAAAGGUAUAAUAUGAUCAUAUUUUACAAGAGAUUAUAAUGAAAAGGGUUUGUGGUAGG
rnacentral:lncRNA from 1 species